rnacentral:rRNA from 1 species
CCUACGGGAGGCAGCAGUGAGGAAUAUUGGUCAAUGGACGAGAGUCUGAACCAGCCAAGUAGCGUGAAGGAUGACUGCCCUAUGGGUUGUAAACUUCUUUUAUAUGGGAAUAAAAUGUUCCACGUGUGGGAUUUUGUAUGUACCAUAUGAAUAAGGAUCGGCUAACGCCGUGCCAGCAGCCGCGGUAAUAAGGAGGAUCCGAGCGUUAUCCGGAUUUAUUGGGUUUAAAGGGAGCGUAGGUGGAUUGUUAAGUCAGUUGUGAAAGUUUGCGGCUCAACCGUAAAAUUGCAGUUGAAACUGGCAGUCUUGAGUACAGUAGAGGUGGGCGGAAUUCGUGGUGUAGCGGUGAAAUGCUUAGAUAUCACGAAGAACUCCGAUUGCGAAGGCAGCUCACUGGACUGCAACUGACACUGAGGCUCGAAAGUGUGGGUAUCGAACAGGAUUAGAUACCCCGGUAGUC